CUGAGGUGCCAAGAAAUGAAAAAAAAUGUAAUAUAAUCAGGAUUCUCAGUUCUUUGAAGACUAAGAAAGAAGACUCAGUGCACAGCUAGUAAGUGUGUGACCCUGGGCAAGUUACUUAAUAUUAUGACUCAGUUUCCUCAUCUGUAAAAUGAACCAAAGAAGGAAAAGACACACCACUCUAGUAUUUUUACCAAGGAAACCCUAAAUGGGGGCACAAAGAUUUAGACACAACUGAAGUGGCUGAACAACAACAAACUACUUAAAUUCAGUUUUAAUUUGAUUUUUAAAAAUUGUCCAUAGGAGAUAAAGAAAUUUGGAUCUAUAUGACAAUUGGAUUUCUGUGGGAGCAGAGAGAUUAAAAAGUGAAAGGUAAGUGGAAUUAAAUGAAUUAUGGCCUAUCUGAAUGCCCACAUCACUCAGAGAAUCUGUGAGUAGAAGCUUCAUUUUAUAGGAAUAAUAGGAACUGCAUCCUCAACAUCUCUGACAAGUGGUCAUCAAGACUUUGACUGAAGACUUCCAGUGACAUAAAACUCACUGUCUCCUAAGGCUGCUCAUUUCACAUCUGGGAACCUGCAUGAAAAGCCCACCUCAUCAUUUUCUCUAAGGCGCAUGCUCAGGAAAAGGUCAAAAAUCCUUUUUACUGUAUGGAAAAAGAAACGCCUUGGAAACCUCUGCUAUCAAGUUUGAUAAGGUUUCAGAAGAUCCAGGAAUUUGAAGCAGGGGAAAACCAGUUAGCAGUGAUGUCUUACAAAUAUGCCUUCCUAAGUUGCAGAAGGGAUAUCCCUUCUGCAGAACCCUAGCCUCCAUUAUUGUGCCAAAUACCUAAAAAUGUUCUGUGUUCUAUAACAUUUUAAAGUGCAUUUCUUACACUAAGUUCCAUGUGCUGACUUUUCUUUUUGGUAGUGAUUCAAUACUGUAUAUAGUUUUACAUAAGAAAAUCUCCCCUUUGAAUAAGUUUUAGAAAUCAUUGUGGGAGUUGGGAUGGUACAGAGUAAAGUCUGGACAGUAAUUUAGAAAUAUAUUAUCUCAAACAUUUAAAAAUCAUUCUAUAAAAUAUAUUCUCUAAAAAAACAGAAAAAGGAACAAAAUUGUCCUUAAAAACAAAUGUUUCUUUUUUAACUCAGUUUCCCCCCAUGCUUUCACAUCUCUUGACAAAAAUUCUCAACUCUUUAACUCCUGAAGCAAUAUAUUGUUGUAUCAUAUAUGAAACUUUUACUCUGAAUAAGCUCUGUGUCUCUAAUCAUUUAUAAAUUGAAUUCAAACAGUUGGUAAUUCCAAAUUGUGAGAAGUCCUCCUUAAUGCCUCCUAUAGGGCAGCAUCAAAUUUCUGUAUGCAACCAGAGAGGUGAGUUUUAUUAGCCAAGUAUUCCGGUUUAAUUUAAAAAGUAAUGCUUCAAAUGGCACUGGAAAUUUUCUUUUCCUGAAUGAAACCUUCUAGGAGCUGCAUAAAAUCAUACCAUGGUCCAAAUGUGGCCCUAAGGAAAAUUGGUCAUUUCAGUUUACAAUUAAAUCUGUAUUAGUCUUUUACUUUUAUAAAAUAGACUACCACAUGUAUGAAAUAUUUUAUCAAAGAAAAGUA
ensembl:lncRNA